rnacentral:rRNA from 1 species
UACGUAGGGGGCAAGCGUUGUCCGGAUUUAUUGGGCGUAAAGAGCGUGUAGGCGGCUUCACAGGUCCGCUGUGAAAACUCGAGGCUCAACCUCGAGCUGUCGGUGGAAACCGUGUGGCUAGAGUCCGGAAGAGGAGAGUGGAAUUCCUGGUGUAGCGGUGAAAUGCGCAGAUAUCAGGAAGAACACCAAUGGCGAAGGCAGCUCUCUGGGACGGUACUGACGCUGAGACGCGAAAGCGUGGGGAGCGAACAGG